UUCAGAAAGGUGUUGUUCACUUUUAACUCACCAAAACCACAGUACGGAAAUUGCCUGUUUUGUUCCAGUGUUGUGACAUUUUGACCAGUUUGAUUCAGUUUUGGCGUCACUGAUACUGAUUCACCUUCAACUCUCAACCAGUCUGAAUGAAAAGCUCUCAGGUCCGGUGUAUUCCGUGGAAUCUUUCACUUUGACCAGAACGAUGAAGAACAGAUAAUGCCACAUGUUGUGCUCCUCUUUAAUGUGCUCCUCAAAGGUCACCGUUUUAUUGUCAAACUUGUCUCGCUCCAAACCUGGAAGAAGAAGAAGAAGAAGAAGAAAGCAAAAAUAUAAAGGAGACAGAGGCACAGGGACCCAGGAGGCGAUGGAGGGCCACUUAAGCCGGUGGAGGUCGGCGUGGUUAAUCCGUGCGUGUCCUGUUGCCGCGGUAACCAUGGCGACGGCCGCUCCACCUGUGGCUAGGCCCUGUUCACGGCGUGAGUCAGAGAGCUGUGACAUAACAGUGUUUACCGCCCCGAGAGGAGAGGAGCAUGACCCCCAUAGAACAUGUGCGAGGAGGGAGAAGGACGGAGGGAUGGAGGGAUAGA